UGGGGAAUCUUGGACAAUGGGCGCAAGCCUGAUCCAGCCAUGCCGCGUGAGUGACGAAGGUCUUCGGAUUGUAAAGCUCUUUUGCCAGGGACGAUAAUGACGGUACCUGGAGAAUAAGCCCCGGCUAACUUCGUGCCAGCAGCCGCGGUAAUACGAAGGGGGCUAGCGUUGUUCGGAAUUACUGGGCGUAAAGCGUGCGCAGGCGGUUUGGUAAGACAGAUGUGAAAUCCCCGGGCUUGACCUGGGAACUGCAUUUGUGACUGCCAGACUAGAGUGUAGCAGAGGGGGGUAGAAUUCCACGUGUAGCAGUGAAAUGCGUAGAUAUGUGGAGGAAUACCGAUGGCGAAGGCAGCCCCCUGGGCUAACACUGACGCUCAUGCACGAAAGCGUGGGGAGCAAACAGGAUUAGAUACCCCUGUAGUCCCUGAGCGGGCUGGCAAGGCGCAU
rnacentral:rRNA from 1 species